rfam:Oryza punctata chromosome 9, whole genome shotgun sequence.
ACCUUCCCAUCAUGCUAACACCACCACCUCGAGCCUGGCUGACUGGCGUCCCUGAGUACUCCAUCAACAGCUGGGCCGAGCUCAAGGCUCAGUU